rnacentral:antisense_RNA from 1 species
AGACAGGAAAAGCACCCAAAAGGUAAAGGCCAGCCUGGUUCAUGCCAGACACCUAACCCCCUGCUACCACAUGCUGUUUUCCACACUGGGUGCUGGCCUGUGGGAACCUGCACAAGUCGCAGCAACAUGGCCCCACGAAGUCUUUGACAGGCUGCCCCCUGCUGGCUGCUGCGGGAACCACAUGGCAGAUGGCUCCUGAUGUCCCCUGGAAGGCAACAUCUCCAGCAUGAAGCCCACUGGCCUCAUGUCUGUACUUCUGGAGUCCAGGUGAGCAAAGGUCACCUGCCCACUGGACUUGGCCCACAUGGACUACACCUGAGCCACCAAUCCUCUCGGAGGCCUUCUUGCCUCUAUUUGCUGCAUUCCUUCUUCUCCCCUUUGGACUGCGAGCUCCUCAAGGGAACAGCCUAUAGCUUCCUAUUCAUCUCGCACUCACCUGACCUGCCACACUGGCCAGCCCACUGGAUGGGAGGUAACAGUGUACUGGACAUUCUGAGGGCUGCAGAGGCCUCCUGUGGACCCUGCUCUCUUGCAGCUGACCCAUCAGUGCGCUAUACUUCUACAAAUUGUUGGAAUGGAGACAGGUUUUUUUUUUUUUUCAGGAUAUUUGUUUGAGUCAAAAUGAUCUUGACGGGAAGCUCACUGUUAGAGGUUUCAUGGAAAUAGGCCUGGGGGACAGGAUUUGGCUGAGGCUUUCAACUGACAUCAGACAAGACUGCAAU